AUAGCGUAUAUUAAAGUUGUUGCAGUUAAAAAGCUCGUAGUUGGAUUUCUGGUGGGAGCGUUGGGCCGGCCCUAAGGGUCUGAGCUCAAAUGUUUUCCGCCAUCCUUGGAGGGAUGUUGUCUGGCAUUAAGUUGUCGGGCUUCCGAUCUCCAUCGUUUACUGUGAAAAAAUUAGAGUGUUCAAAGCAGGCUUAUGCCGUUGAAUACAUUAGCAUGGAAUAAUAAGAUAGGACCUUGGUACUAUUUUGUUGGUUUGCGUACCUAGGUAAUGAUUAAUAGGGACAGUUGGGGAUAUUACUAUUUCGUUGUCAGAGGUGAAAUUCUUGGAUUUACGAAAGAGUAACUACUGCGAAAGCAUUUAUCAAGGAUGUUUUCAUUAAUCAAGAACGAAAGUUAGGGGAUCGAAGAUGAUUAGAUACCAUCGUAGUCUUAACCAUAAACUAUGCCGACUAGGGAUUGGCGGUCGUUUUUCCGACUCCGUCAGCACCUUAUGAGAAAUCAAAGUCUUUGGGUUCCGGGGGGAGUAUGGUCGCAAGGCUGAAACUUAAAGA
rnacentral:rRNA from 1 species